rnacentral:misc_RNA from 1 species
AACGCACAUAGCGCCUGCUAGUACUCUAGUGGGCAUGCCUGUCCGAGCGUCAUGCACACCUAUCAGGCCCUGGGGGAGACCCCGGGGACUGGCGUUGGCGCACAUCGGCCCCUGGCUGAUGGCUCUUAAAUCCAGUGGCGGACCCCCUGGGGGCCUCGGGCGUAGUAGAACCUACGCCGCCCGAGACCAUCGUGGGGCCCUGCCGUGAAAACCCCAGGCGGGACCGCAAGGCCCGCCGCCGCUUGACGAACUGGCCUCGGAUCAGGUAGGGAUACCCGCUGAACUUAA